GCGUGAGCCACUGUGCCCGGCCCAUAGUGUAAGUACUUUCUAAGUGUUUGCUAUCAAUAAGUAAUAAAUCAUAGAAUACUCGACUGAAAGUGGUACAAAUAUUAGAGAUUUAUUAUUACAGAACAAGAUGGAAGUUGGCAGUUCCAGGGUUUGUCCUGUCAAUUAACCAAGGCAUCCCGGAGACUGGACUCUUCCUGUACCCACUGCCACGCUCAGUGUGGCAGUGCCUUCUCCCCUCAUCAUGGCAGGGAGGCCACCACAGCUCCAACAACCAAGUCUUCACAUGGUCAGCAUCCCAAGCAUGAAAUAAGGGGAUGUGGUUAGAAAGGGCUUUUCUCCUUGUGCAGCCUUCCCUUUACAAGCAAGAAAAUCUCUCCUAGAAGUCCCUAGUAGGUUUCCUUUCAGCUAAAACUUGGGUCACAGGCCCAUCCCUGAACCUGGCACUUCCAACCUGUAACAAAUGAGGCAGAAGUGGGACUAGGGCUGGCUGCUGGGCAGCUGACCGGUAGUGCCCACCACAGUCUGGGAGCCAAAGAGUUCCAAAAGUUCCUCACUCAGGCCAGGGGUAAUUGAGAAACAGGCACAUAACAGUAUUCAUCCAGGAGUCCUCAGGUUUUUUAAGAGUUUUUUAGUUUUUUUUUUGUUGUUGUUGUUUUGUUUUUUUUUUUGAGAUGGGCUCUCGUUCUGUCGCCCAGGCUGGAGUGCAGUGGCGUGAUCAUGGCUCACUGCAGCCUCGACCUCCUGGGCUCAAGUGAUCCUCCCACCUCAGUCUCCCAAAGGGCUGAGAUUACAGAUGUGAGCCACUAUGUGCCUGGCUAAGAGUAGCUUAUUUUUAUUUUAUUUUAUUUUAUUUUUUUGAGAUAGAGUCUUGCUCUGUCGCCUAGGCUGGAGUGCAAUGGAGCGAUCUUGGCUCACUGCAACCGCCCCCUCCCGGCCUCAAGCAAUUAUCCUACCUCAGCCUCCCAAGUAGCUGGGAUUACAGGUGUCUGCCACCAUGCCUGGCUAAUUUUUGUAUUUCUGUAGAGAUGGGGUUUCACCAUGUUGGCCAGGCUGGUCUAGAACUCCUGACCUCAGGUGAUCCACCCACCUUGGACUCCCAAAGUGCUGGGAUUACAGGCGUGAGCCACCACGCCUGGCCAAGAGUAGCUUUUUAACCUAGGUCAGUAUCGUGUUGGUAAAAUACGGAGAGAGGAUGUUUGAGCAGAAGGACCUACCUCAUCUUCUCACCUGUUCUAGGCUGCUACCUUCUCUUUCUACAAACCAAAGGAGGGGGCUCAUAACUCAAUGGGCCUUGUGGGAAAGGCUAACCAGACUAGUCACUGCUGAAUUCCUCUAAGGGAUUCCCCUACCCUGACUGCCCUUGCCACAGUUGCACCCACCAUCCUAGGGGCAGUAAGUAGAGAGAGCUGUGUGAGAAGAGCACUCUUUCCACUCCAGAUGUCCCCUACAACCUAUAUCCUCACGGCCACUAACAGUUUGGGCCCGUAGCAUCACUCAUCUGGACCGCUCCCAUGUGGUCUCCCCAUCACAACAAAGACUGCAGCAAGGUGGACAGAGAACUCCAAGAGAGCCAGGAAAAUACCUUUAUAAACCAUCACAGAAAGCCUGAUUUCCACUCGCUAAAUCCAUUAAUAAAGAGAGGAGAAAUUUUAAAAUUCCAAGGCACCUGGUUACUAAUCUGAUUCUGGCCUACAUGUGGAUAUUCAAUAAAUACUUGUUAAGUUAAAUUGACUCAAGGUUUUAUUUAUUCAGCCUACUUAAAGCUUAUGUAAACCCCUUGGAGAUUUGUGUCAAGCUGUUAAGUUGGAAAAUAUAAGAAAAGUAGUAUUUUCAAUAGACCAGCUUUCCUCUUAAUGUACUUUAUGAACUUAGUGUAAACCAGGGAAAUGGGGGAGGGGUACCAGAAGAGCAGAGGGGAAGGAGGUGAGGAGGAAGGAAGAGGUGAGGAGGAAGGAGAAGAAAAGCCUUUUCUGUCAUUUCCUGCAUUUGUCUUAAUUGCUGUACUUAUUAACCAGCUACUGCCCUCUAGUGCUCACUGUAUUAAGUUCGCAUCUGAAUUCCAUUUUUAUCUUUAAAAACUCUGGUGACACUUGGAAGGGAUCAAAUUUCCUGUUUUGCAGAUAAGCAAAUUGAAGUCCAGAGGAAAGAGGUAUCAAACUGACCCAGGGGACUUCUGGACUCUUUGUUACCUCACCUAUAACUUGUCUGGAAAACUUUAUUAAAAGCCUUUCUCAGAAAUUUUAAUUGGUAACCAGUAAAAAUUGUAGCAUCAUGUUAGUGCUAGUUAUUAUUAUUAUUAUUUUUGAGACGGAGUCUGGCUCUGUUGCCCAGGCUGGAGCGCAAUGGUGCAAUCUGGCUCACCGCAACCUCCGCCUCCUGGAUUCAAACUACUCUCCUGCCUCAGCCUCCCAAGUAGCUGGAA
rnacentral:lncRNA from 10 species